rnacentral:rRNA from 1 species
CGUCGUUCUUCCGUCCCGGCCGGACCGGACCGGCCACCGGGUACGGAGGUAACGAACCGUAACUGCGAACCUACGCCCCUGUCAGGGGGACAACCCGCCGAAAGGCGGGCUAAACCCGCGUACAUGCCACCGGGGCAUCCCGGAGGCAGGAAAGGCUUCGGCCGGACAGGGAUGGGCAUGCGGCGCAUUAGGCAGUAGGCGGGGUAACGGCCCACCUAACCGACGAUGCGUAGGGGUUCUGAGAGGAAGGUCCCCCACACUGGUACUGAGACACGGACCAGACUCCUACGGAAGGCAGCAG